CCUACGGGGGGCUGCAGUGAGGAAUAUUGGUCAAUGGGCGGAAGCCUGAACCAGCCAAGUCGCGUGAGGGACUAAGGCCCUGCGGGUCGUAAACCUCUUUUGUCGGGGAGCAAAAGCCGGACGUGUCCGUCUGUGAGAGUACCCGAAGAAAAAGCAUCGGCUAACUCCGUGCCAGCAGCCGCGGUAAUACGGAGGAUGCGAGCGUUAUCCGGAUUUAUUGGGUUUAAAGGGUGCGUAGGCGGGCAUUUAAGCCGGCGGUCAAAUGUCGGGGCUCAACCCCGGCCUGCCGUCGGAACUGGGUGCCUUGAGUGGGCGAGAAGUAUGCGGAAUGCGUGGUGUAGCGGUGAAAUGCAUAGAUAUCACGCAGAACCCCGAUUGCGAAGGCAGCAUACCGGCGCCC
rnacentral:rRNA from 1 species